rnacentral:rRNA from 1 species
UACGGGGGGGGCAAGCGUUGUUCGGAAUUACUGGGCGUAAAGGGCUCGUAGGUGGCCAACUAAGUCAGACGUGAAAUCCCUCAGCUUAACUGGGGAACUGCGUCUGAUACUGGAUGGCUUGAGUUUGGGAGAGGGAUGCGGAAUUCCAGGUGUAGCGGUGAAAUGCGUAGAUAUCUGGAGGAACACCGGUGGCGAAGGCGGCAUCCUGGACCAACACUGACACUGAUGAGCGAAAGCCAGGGGAGCAAGCGGG